UGGCACUGCACCCCAAUCCUUCCCUGUGGCUGGCACUGCAUCUCCAAGCCUGACACUGCACCCCAAUCCUUCCCUUUGCCUGGCACUACACCUCCAUGCCUGGCACUGCACCCCAAUCCUUCCCUGUGCCUGGCACUGCACCUC